AGAGAACGUCUCCAGGGCUGUGGCGUUUCCUCAUGCCCCCUGUUCUCAGAAAGCCCACACUGCAGGCUGCUGGCGAGAAGACCUCAGGAAGCAGGUCCUGUGAAGAGGUUCAAUCCAAUUUGCCUUCCCCAUGCUCCAGCAUUGACCUGGACAUUGGAAUUGAGAAAGAAAUGGGAAGAAAAGGAGGACUCUGCAGAGGUGAAUGAGAGGCACAGACUUCUCAUUGUUUUGGAGGAAAACAGAAUGGUGUGGUAUCCCAGAAGCUAAGACAACAAAGGGUUUCAAGGAGGAAGAGAACAACUGCAUCAACGCCAAAUGCUGCUGAGAGGUUGAGGAAGAACUGGACUGAUGAUCUCACACAGGCCUGAGGCUGUGGCCAAGGCAGGAAAAUGUGGGAAUGGCCUUUCUCUGAACGUUGACCUCUGCCACCUGCCAAGCACCUUAUGAUUUCCAGUUGUACUUCCUCACCAGCCUCGCUCAUAGAUAAGCCUUCCUAUCUUAGUAAUAAUUAAAUGUUCUUGUCCGAAACCAAUAGAGUAAAGAAGGAAGAUUAGCCCUGAGCUAACAUCUGCUGCCAGUCCUCCUCUCUUUGCUGAGGAAGAAGCCAACAUCCAUGCCCAUCUACCUCUACUUUAUAUCUGGGACACCUGCCACAGCAUGUCAUGCCAAGCUGUGUGUAGGCCUGCACCCGGGAUCCAAACCUGCAAAUCCCAGGCUGCAGAAGCAGAGCAUGCGUACUUAACCACUGCGCCACCGGGCCACCCCAAUGUACAUGUAAUUUUUUUAAUUACUCAGACUUUGUCUCAAGGAGUAUACUGAUAGUAGAGGAAACUGACAAGAAAAUAACAAGUGCAACAUAGAAUUUCUAAAAGUGCUUUAAUAGAUGUAUAUGCAGCAUGAUGUAGGAGCACAAAAGCAUAUAAAAAUGAAGCAAAUAAUUUUGAAAUAGGAAGAUGGGUUAAACCUUGGCUAAGUAGGUGGCAUUUAUACUGGGGUUUGAGGAAGAGGUUUGGAAUAGGCAGAGAAGUGAAUGUGUUCUACUUCUUCAAUGUUCUACUCGUCCAUUCCUGGUUUUCCUUAAACCACUAAGCAUUGAGGAGUUUGUUUUCUAAAUCUUCACAGCCCAGUUUUAUUUACUAGAAGUGCCGCCUCAUCAGACUUGGUGACUGUUCUCUUAGCAGAUCAAGGUUCCUGGGCAACAUCUUGCAGCCUUUACAGAAUCAGAGCUUCUUGCCCUGUGUGGUAGCUCUUCACUGCAGCUGCCCCCGCAGUCCAGGCACUAGCAACAGAAAUGAGUCAAGGAGCCUUCAUCUUUGUGUAAAUAAGGGCCCUGUUGUAUCGUCACGCUGCAGGGGCAGGGUGUGGUCUGCAGGCCGCAGGGUGAUGCCUCAAACUGUCUGGACUCAAAGUCUAAGCGCCGCAUCCAGGUUCUUAAGCAAGUGAUUGAGCCUGUGCAACAUGUCUCUCCUGUUCCCCCAUCCCCUCCAAGACUGGAGAUGAGCUGGGCAGGGUGACCUGUGUCACAAGCCGAUUGUCAGAAUAUCACAUUAACAAUCAUUUGUUAGGUCCUCUUUCCUGUUUUGUCAGUAAAGCUCUGUUGAGACUGAUGGUGAGGGGAGAUUCAGGCCGAGGUAGUCCAACUUCCGCUGAGUGGCUUAUGACUUCAGACAUGUAUCCUCGUGUUGGAGAGUGAUGUUCAUCAGAGAACAUUUUCAGCCCAAUGAUAUAUUCAAUCCGGGCCACAUUUUAUUGUCAUUAAUGAGACUGCAUGCUCUUUAAUAUUUUUUUACUUUUUUCAAAAUUAGGUAUUACAGCCCCCAACUUAACAAUAUUUAAAACUCUCCAUCUCUGCCACUCAUGGGCUUGUCAUCUCUGCUCUACUUGAGUCUGUCUACACAUGCAUUUUCUCUCCUGGUUAUUUGAAAUGACUUAAGAUGUUCAUACACAGUGUGUCUUCCGGUUGUGCAAAUAUUUUCGUGUUGCUCAUGAUUAAGUUGCUUGCAUGUGCCCGAUAGAGUCUGUUGAAUUUCUAAGGUCACAGUAAUUGGCAGAUGGAAGAAGUUCCAUCCUAUGAACUUUGAGGAAGGCUCUGGCUGCCUUCCUGCUUGACAGAGCAGGGAGGGAGAUGAAUUCUGCUUAAGCUGACAGCGGGCUGCAUAACAAACAGCCCAAGCCAUCAAACUGUAUUAUUUUUAACUAACACGCAUUAUUCCCUUUGAAAAGUAAAAUCUCCUCUUGAUAGUUUUCCUCCACCAAAGAAUGCACUUUCCUCUCCCUAGAAAUGGCAGCUCUGCCUCUCCUAGAUGCUCAACUCGGACAGUUAUUGCCCUAAAUGACGGAUGAGCUCACUUCCCAGCAGCUCAUCUCGGCCACUCGGCAGCAGCCCUAGACAGUCUGGCAAACCUCUUCUGGUCCGUAGCGUUCUCUCAGACCUGCCCUGGCUCCUCUCCGCUGAGCUGGACUUAGUCCUCUCAAAUCUGUUGACCUACCUCAGCCCUUCUCUCUUGCUGGCAGUUAUUUCUCCUUAGCCUCCCUUAUUUCCCUGCAGGCUCAAUUUCUUAUGUAAAUGUUGGGUGACCACUUUGGGCCAGCUGCUGUCUCCAUGCGAUUGCUCACCAGAACAGUAGGUUUCCGGAGCUGGCUCUCCUAAAGAGAACUUUCUAUCCCUCAGUGGAACUGCAUUCUAUAAAGGGAUUGUGUUCUCAGCCCUUACGUAAAGAACGAGAACCAUUUAGAGUCAAACUUAACUUGGGAAAUCUCACAUUGGGGACCACACACCACUCUCAAUAGGUCCAGCACAACCAGAUUUGCCUCCAAGGUUGGAACAGAUUGCUAUAUCCUUUUUUGGACAUGAGACGAAUUAAUUUGUUCUUUUAUUUUAGUAGCCAUUGCGUAAAAUCACACCUAGCGCGGCAAGAAGUUCACGCUAUAAGAAGCAAGGGGGAAUGAAACUCAACUGCAUUAAUAGUCUAUGGAUGCUUCACCACUCAUGUUCUCUGUGCAUGUUCUCUCUUUCUCUCUCCCCCUCCAUCCAUCCCUCCAUCCCCCUUUCCUCCCUUCUUCCCUGCCACCUCCUUCUCUCCCCUUCUCCCCCACCUCCUUCUCUCUCUGUCUCUCCCUUCCCUCUCUCCCUGGCUCCAUCUCACCAUCUUCUCUUCUCUUUCUUCUCUUCUCUUCUAUUCCUUCUCCCUCUCUCUCUCUCUUCUUCUCCAUUUUAUCCUGCUCCUCCUCCUUUCCCUCCUUCCCUCUUCCCUCUGACGCACACACAGGAAUCAUUGCAUUUAACGGUAAGCUGUCUUCACGUACCUGUAUUAAAAAGCUGAAUCAUCCUGUUCUAUCCCACCUCAAGGUCUUAGUGAUCAUCUCUGAAAGCUUGGCCUUAACUUGCCCCACUGUCUUCCUGUCGUUUUCUUCAUUUCCACAGUCUCUCUCUCCUCCCUGUGAUCCACCCACGUCAAUCUUACUUUUCCAUCUUUAUUCUCUCGGAGGUCUUGAUCUCCUUCCCCCC
rnacentral:lncRNA from 1 species